GUGUGUUCCAGGUAAAUCCGGUUCACUUUAACACUGAGGCGUGACGACGAGGCACUACGGUGCUGAAGCAACAAAUGCCCUGCUUCCAGGAAAAGCCUCUAAGCAUCAGGUAACAUCAAAUCGUACCCCAAACCGACACAGGUGGUCAGGUAGAGAAUACCAAGGCGCUUGAGAGAACUCGGGUGAAGGAACUAGGCAAAAUGGUGCCGUAACUUCGGGAGAAGGCACGCUGACACGUAGGUGAAGUGAUUUACUCAUGGAGCUGAAGUCAGUCGAAGAUACCAGCUGGCUGCAACUGUUUAUUAAAAACACAGCACUGUGCAAACACGAAAGUGGACGUAUACGGUGUGACGCCUGCCCGGUGCCGGAAGGUUAAUUGAUGGGGUCAGCGCAAGCGAAGCUCCUGAUCGAAGCCCCGGUAAACGGCGGCCGUAACUAUAACGGUCCUAAGGUAGCGAAAUUCCUUGUCGGGUAAGUUCCGACCUGCACGAAUGGCGUAAUGAUGGCCAGGCUGUCUCCACCCGAGACUCAGUGAAAUUGAACUCGCUGUGAAGAUGCAGUGUACCCGCGGCAAGACGGAAAGACCCCGUGAACCUUUACUAUAGCUUGACACUGAACAUUGAGCCUUGAUGUGUAGGAUAGGUGGGAGGCUUUGAAGUGUGGACGCCAGUCUGCAUGGAGCCGACCUUGAAAUACCACCCUUUAAUGUUUGAUGUUCUAACGUGGACCCGUUACCCGGGUUGCGGACAGUGUCUGGUGGGUAGUUUGACUGGGGCGGUCUCCUCCUAAAGAGUAACGGAGGAGCACGAAGGUUGGCUAAUCCUGGUCGGACAUCAGGAGGUUAGUGCAAUGGCAUAAGCCAGCUUGACUGCGAGCGUGACGGCGCGAGCAGGUGCGAAAGCAGGUCAUAGUGAUCCGGUGGUUCUGAAUGGAAGGGCCAUCGCUCAACGGAUAAAAGGUACUCCGGGGAUAACAGGCUGAUACCGCCCAAGAGUUCAUAUCGACGGCGGUGUUUGGCACCUCGAUGUCGGCUCAUCACAUCCUGGGGCUGAAGUAGGUCCCAAGGGUAUGGCUGUUCGCCAUUUAAAGUGGUACGCGAGCUGGGUUUAGAACGUCGUGAGACAGUUCGGUCCCUAUCUGCCGUGGGCGCUGGAGAACUGAGGGGGGCUGCUCCUAGUACGAGAGGACCGGAGUGGACGCAUCACUGGUGUUCGGGUUGUCAUGCCAAUGGCACUGCCCGGUAGCUAAAUGCGGAAGAGAUAAGUGCUGAAAGCAUCUAAGCACGAAACUUGCCCCGAGAUGAGUUCUCCCUGAGACUUAAAGUCUCCUGAAGGAACGUUGAAGACGACGACGUUG
rnacentral:rRNA from 1 species